ACGGAGUUUUGUGAGGGAAGUCUACGGAUGGACGUUAUAAAACUUAGUGGCGGACGGGUGAGUAACGCGUGGGCAACCUGCCGUAUACAGGGGGAUAACAACUGGAAACAGUUGCUAACACCGCAUAAGCGCACGGUACCGCAUGGUACCGAGUGAAAAUCUCCGGAGGUAUACGAUGGGCCCGCGUCUGAUUAGCCAGUUGGUGGGGUAACGGCCUACCAAAGCGACGAUCAGUAGCCGGCCUGAGAGGGUGGACGGCCACAUUGGGACUGAGACACGGCCCAAACUCCUACGGGAGGCAGCAGUGGGGGAUAUUGCACAAUGGGGGAAACCCUGAUGCAGCGACGCCGCGUGAGUGAAGAAGCAAUUCGUUGCGUAAAGCUCUAUCAGCAGGGAAGAAGAAAUGACGGUACCUGAAUAAGAAGCCCCGGCUAACUACGUGCCAGCAGCCGCGGUAAUACGUAGGGGGCAAGCGUUAUCCGGAUUUACUGGGUGUAAAGGGAGCGUAGACGGCAGUGCAAGUCCGAUGUGAAAACCCGGGGCUCAACCCCUGGGAGUGCAUCCCAAACUGUACGGCUGGAGUGCAGGAGAGGCAACCCCAAUUCCUGGUGUAGCGG
rnacentral:rRNA from 1 species